CACCCUACCUGUGCGGUUUGUAUGGUCGCACGCGAUUGCCCGCAGACGUUCGUGUUUACGUGUUGUUUCUACCGGAAUUCUCGCCCUAAUGUGAUCCCACGAGGAGCGCCCAUUGGUUUCGCUCUGCUUCGAGCUAUCUGUUGUCGGCGACGAUGGAGCUCGAACGCCGGCUACCAGCAACGGCCAACGCAGUCCUCAAGCCGUGUAUGGACAUGAGGCAGCUCUUCGUGGACAACAUCUUUGUCGAAGAUGACAUGCUGUGUUAUGACGCAGGGUCUGAGGGCAACCCUGGCUUGUACGUUGGCGUGGAGCCAGCGAGUCCAUCACGAGCUUACUUCGAAGUGGAACUUAUCGGCAUGGGAACGGCCGACCUAGUCUUGGGAUUCCUCUGCCCAAGUGGUACGGGAAUGCACCAGUGGGACUGUGCGCUGUCGCUUGCUUGCCGAGUCAGCCAGGGCAGGCUAUCGGAGUGUGAAAGCUGUAUGCCUGGUGUGGCCUGCAGACCCGGUGACAGGAUUGGAUGCGGCCUCGCCUUUGACCCCAAGGUGCGGUUUCGCAACUGGGGCACCGUUGUCACUUUCUUCAUCAUACAUAACGGCAAAGAGGUCGGGAGGUCCACGUCGUUGGUGUCUGGACGUCUCCAUCCUGCCAUAGUUAUGCGAGAUCCUGGGCAUCAGGUUCGGCUUCUGGGUGACGGGCGACCCACUUCGUGCUCGCUUACAGAGGAUGCACUCAUGUGCGUUGACUCAAAUGAAGACGAGUGGCUACGGCUACACGACGUCCAUCUUAACGGACCCGUGUUGGAGUACUCGGGCCGAGGUACCAGCAUGGUAGACGUCGGCUUGGCUCAGACCCGCAGUCCACUCAGCACCACGAACCACUACUUCGAGCUGGAAAUUCUAGACCCCGGAGAAAAGUGCUGCAUUGCCAUUGGGCUGGCCCACAGGGAUUAUCCCAGGUACAGGCAUCCUGGCUGGAACGAAGGGUCCAUUGCCUACCAUGCAGAUGAUGGCAAGAUUUUUGUAGGAAGUGGUGUGGGAUCACGGUUUGGACCCAAGUGCCAGAAAGGAGACAUCAUGGGUUGCGGUAUCCUGUUCCCACGCGAGUAUGUGGAGCCCAACGAACCCAACAGAGACGCCAUAGACAACGAUGACAAGGGCCGGUUGGAAGGGGACGACAACGACGAGUAUGACUUCAUGAAGUACGACGUGAUUCCCCUUGAAGGAACCCUGGUGCAGGUCUUCUUCACCCUAAAUGGCGUCCACGUUGGUCGGCGAGAAAUUGCCAUGCCCCAGGGCGGUUUCUUUCCGACUGUGGGCAUGCUGAGUCGCAAGGAGAAAGUAAAGGUAGACCUACAUCCUCUAACAGGCUGAGAGGGUUGCAACGCCGCACCAGCGACUAACACAUCAAGCGACAGACUCUGCGCCCGUUUUACAUUGAGCCAAAGCAACGUACGUUGUUUCGAACUUACUGUUGGAAGUGAGCAGGUGCUGUUUUAUUCGUUACCGAUCCUGGAUCUGCCACUUUUCUGGGUAUCCUGUAACAUCCUGCAGAUGUGUUGAGCAGCGCUCUCGCUGGUGCACGUCAGCGGAGGUGAUGAAUUGUCUGGUGUGCAAUGUGUGUGCGAGUGACGAAUGAAAUAUGAGUCCGCCUUCAGCUUACAGCUGCUCACCUCGGUUUGAGGGAAACAUUUUUGUCUUGAAAAUCAAAAAAAAAUCAUCGAAGUAGAACAUAUGGCGGUGACUACAGUGUUACAGACGUAGGCCUUUGGCCACUGUGCCAAUUUGUAUAUAGCAUGGCAAGGUUCUUGCCACGGCCAUGGGCCUCGUCCGUGAAAAGUUCAAAAAGCAAGGGCUGACUUACCCAUUUUUAUUAGUACCAUUUCUAGUAGCUGCUGUGUUUCACAAAUCAACUUGAAAUAUGAGAAAUAGUUGGGCGAAUAAAUUAAUGAUGUGGCUUGGCAAGACUUUUGGUGCUGAUUCUAGUCACGUGCAUCUGGCCACUGCCCCAUCACGUUUUAUGAAGCCGUACGACGUUUCUAUGCAUGCGGGAAAGUUUGUUUACAAAUUACUGCAUGCAAUCAAGAGCAGACUUAUUUCACAUCUGACUGUCAAGACUAGUGUGUAGCCACGUGAAAUUUCAUUUCAUGUAACUUGAGUAUCGUACCAGAUACAUAGACUGGUGCUGCAGCUUUACGUCAGAGAUUACAUGAAGCAGAGGAAUCAGUGUUGCGAUUGGGUAAAUGGAAAAGUUGUAGGCACCGGCUCACUUUUAUUCUUUCCUUGAGAGACGAGUCGUUUGUCAUCGCCCUAACUCAGGUUCAGAUCGCUGGGGGAAUUGCGCAUUUGGCGUGCCAGCCCCACUCCUGCAUUUUUAGAGAACAUUGCAGCAAGGUGUGUGCAUUAUGAAAGUUACCAUCACUGUGCUAUAGAAAUGUGCCUUCGCUUGUACGCAUGCCGGUCCACUUAUUCUCGAAGGGUCAUACGUAAAGACGUGUUGCGUCUUGUAUGCUUGCAGAGCUAUGGUUUAGUGAUUGCAUCAUGUAUGGAACAUCUCGCAUCACACCGAACCGCUUCGAGUGAAUCACAAAUCUUUCUAACAAAACAAUUAUAAACUGGUAUUCUCUUUUGGAAAAUCCACUGUGUUCAACUGCAAGGGUGUAGACUCUGCGCGACGUAAUUAAUGACCACUCGAAAAAAGGUGUCUUGCCUAAUGAACUGUGUGAAUUGUGUACAGUUGACAAAAGUCUUCGGUUUUUCACCCUAUUUUGCUUGUUGAGAGCUAUUUUCGAAACAGCAAUGUGACUGCAAUACUAUUCUGCGGAGCCUGAUGCUGUUUAUGUGCUGAACUGUCUUGAAAUGUGUGGCUAAUUACCUAUGGUUAAAUUCGCCCAAUCAGUCGCUAUGGCUGUGAACUUGUGUGGUGAAUGUCUCAAGUGUAUGUUAAUGUACAGUUAUUUUAUAUUGUCUGAGGUAUGUUACCUCUCUUGUAAUUAGAAAAAUAACAAAAAAGAACUAGUGGUUGCAUUAAGAAUGGCUGGGAACUCGCAAGCUGGGUCAAUUAAUAUUGGCUCUGCUGACUUUCUUGAUAUACAGUGGCUCACAACAGCAAAAGUUAGCCUGUGCUAAUUAAUGUCAUGAAGAGAAUGCUUUGUGUGAGUGUGUGUCUUUGCAUGUGUGCAUGUGAGUGCGAAUGCCAUCAGCAAACUAGCCAAUCCAAGAAUCGGUCUGUGGGAGCCAACACCCUUCCUUGCUUGUUUUUUUCAUCCUGCACGCAAGUGAUACCUUACCUAAUUCACGUAUAAGCUCAUCUUCUCAAGUCUAGUAUCAGUCUAACUCCAAUGUGAAAGGGAACACUCUAACACUCGUGAAGCUUUAUAAGCAAGAUCUCCAACACUUACCCUAAUCACGGGGGCAGCUUUCGAGCUGGUAACAUCGCGAGUCGCUCACAAGCAUGUUGAAAAAAUUGGGCAGUGCAGAGAACCGAGUACGAGAGAAAUUGUGCUGGCAGCCCAGAUGUCAAUGCCCUAAAUAUUAUUUUAUUUCUAGGUCUCUUGGUUAGGUCAAACGAGGUGUGUAGAAUGAAGUACAUUGACAAGUUCCGCAGUCUUGGGCAGAUACUGUGAACUAGUUAUUCAAAAUGCGCUACAGGAGAUACUAGUAUUCACUUACUAUUUUGUCAUGCAACUUCUAACUAUAUAACUUGUCACUUUUUUUAUUCAAGUCACUUGUAGCUGUAAAUCUGUCGCAACGUAAUGGCAAAGCUACUUCGUUAUAAUAAAGCACAUAUAGUUGUAUCUAAUGUACACUGAUGUCAAUGAAGCGUAAAAGCAACACAAAAGAAAAGGUGGAUAACUGAUGGCUAUAUUUAUCACAGAAAUUUGACGACAUUCGUUUGCCAGUACUUUAACAUAAAGGGACCCUCCAACACUUUUCGAAAUAGAUAAUCGUCGGAAGGCUUCACUAAAUGAGUUUAUUGCCUCACAAAAGUUUCCAGAAUCCGUCCAGUACAAGCGGAGUUAGAAAUAUUUGUUGCACAUUAUAAUUGUCUUCUCUUAUCUCUUGUCCCAACAAACGCACUGGAAGCUGGCAGGGAGGGAUGGCACGGGGAAAAAAUUGAAGGACAUCUUGUGAAUUCCGAAGUGUGUUCGGCAAAUGCCUUUGCUCAUUGAGACGGAGUCGAUCAGAAUGGAACGCAAUGCACGCAUCGCCCUUCUUGCAUGAUUAGGCAUGCUGGGCACAGUGGCACUACGCAACCAAAAGUGCAAGCAGUGUACAGUGUGACACGACCAGCAAUCAUUUGCGCACCCCAGUGGCGACCUGGCACCGUGCCAAGGCACGGAUGGAGGGAUGGAGAAACGAAAGUGAGCAUGAAACAUUAAAGGCUUUCACCUUGAAAGUGAGCUAAGGUGCAGGUCAUGGCCUUGAGCGCUCUUUUUUUUUCUUCCACAAUCACGCGCCUUGCUUUCACUGUGAUCGCAAGUGUAUACGCAGGCACGUGGAGGGCUCCCGUGACAGCCGCAGUAACUACGCAAGUCAUGAUGCUCAGAUCAGCUAAUAGUUGUGAAUUUGGGUAUAUGGCAUGGUGGCGUAGGUACAUGGCAUCAUUUGUAGAAAAAAAAAAAGGAAUGAUCUCUAGCUGACUUCGAGAAUGGACUGUAAAUUUCAUGUUUGGCUCGGGUGUUCUGUGUUCUCAUGAGCCUUGACUAUCAAUUGGCAGCAUUUUCCAACCAUGCUCAAAAAGUGUUGCAGGGGCCAGGGCUUUUUUAAACUAAAAUAUACCGUUAGUGUUCAUCACAUUUUAAUUAUUGGUAACGGAAGAUACCCCUACAUGAUCGGCAGUAACAGCAACUAAAUUUGCAUUUUUGAGACUUGAAACAGUACUUUUCUGCUCCAGGUGACGCAAUUGCUGUUACCUUUUGCUGCAUUAGUGUCCAUCACUGGUGGUUUAGAUAUCAUGUAGAAUCGAAGCAAGAAAACUUGGCACCUGGAAAUUUCUUGGCAGUAUUGCAGUGUAAAUGCAAAUGUCAGCUAGCAGCAUUUGAGUUUUUACUUUAAGUGCAGGUGUUCCUUUCCAUGCUCAAAAAGUGCAGACGCUCCGGCUGUAUAAGACAGAGAAUUGCAGGAAGAUGUAGAUUCUUGGGGACUGACUGAGGCAAAAUCCCUUCAUGACAUCUCCUAGGUCGCUUCCUGUGUAGCAUUUCACUUGUAAAUGACUUCAUGGUUGCUGGUAGCGUUGCUUCACAGCAAAAAAAAAAAAAAAAACAGAGCUUUUUUUUUUUUGACGUGUGUGUUGUUUGUAGCAUGUGCAUCGUGUUGCAUCUAUGGUUUAUAUAUGUCUCCUUGCAUCCACUUAAAACUGCGCUGCUUGCGUGACACUAAUCUGUAUAAGAUCCGGAUCUGGUUAUGCAUUAUUGUAACAUAGUUCACUUCUACAAGAGCCAAAGUAGAGACUAUUUGGUUGUGCAUAGUCGUUACUUGGAACAUGCUGCUCAAACACAAUAACUCACAAAAAGAAUGUGACAUGUGCGCUUGUCUUGUGUACAUAUGGGCCUUCUUUUUGUCUGCAUUUCUUUGCAUUCGAGCAGCGCAUUGUAAGUAUAAACUAUAAUUCACUUCAUCUGCAGGCAGGGUGCAGGUACCACUCGACUGGCGUUAGUCACACCAUCCAAAUGUUAAAGGGACCGACAACCAACUUAUAUGAUUCCCAUUUUCUAUAGCGCAGUAGAAAAAGUUACCGAUCGAAGUGUGUAAUCACAGAAUGGUAAUUCAGAAAAGGCCAUGAAGCACUUGCAGUUGGAGGGCUUUGGAUUUCAGGCAAGCGUGAUUUCGUAUACACGACACAUGCUAGAAACAAUGGACAGUGAUUACUGCGGCAGUUCGUGCUCGUGUGCUGCUGUUUGCUGGGCAUGCACGCACCUUGCGCACAUGCGCUGCGUACCAACAUGUUCGGCUAGUUGCUGAGCAUGCAGUGCCACUUCCCUGCGCUAACUCUUUCUUUUUGUAGCAGUGCUGUUAAGCUUUUUCCUGGGAUGUGAGGCGUUCGACAGAAACUGUCAUCAUCGUGAACCGGUGGGGGCUCUUCUCGUCCCUUUCUUCAUCAUCUGCUUCACUGCGAAAACGUGUGCGCCGAUUUGUGCAGCGGCGGAUGCAGUAGCGCUGAUGGGCGAGAGAAGGAGAAUGGAGGGAAAGAAAGAUAAAUUCUUGUUGAAAAAUAUUUCUUAGCGAGGUGGAAUUCGAUGUCGCGUAACCGCGAUCCGAAAGGAGCAAUUUGAACCACUCGGCUGCCCAGACACACCAGCCGAGCAGUGUGCAGUAUAGCAGAGACUGCUAUAGUAAGGCAGGGUGGUGGGAAAGAGAAGCGAGUUGAGGGAGGCAAGCAGGAAGGGAGAGUAAAGCGUAGCAUACAAUGAAAUAUAAAUAGACAGGAUGAGGGGGAAAGAGAAAUAGAGAGAGAACCAAAGAAAGAGUGAGAAAGAAAAAAAUAGACAAGUGAAAAAGAAAUACAAAUAAACAGUGAAGUAAAGGACAAAUAAUGGAGGAAACAAAGAGGCAGAAAUAAACGGCAAUGAAGAAGGCCGCCCAGCUCCAUAUUUUCGUCACGGUUGGCACCUCUAGCUAAGCUGCUCUAAAUUUUUUUGAAGGCAGUGCAGAAUUCAGCAGCGGUGCACAGUUAUGUACGCAUUCUGAUCUUAUUUUUGGCCCUCGUUCUAAAAGCAUCAGACUGCAUGCAGCGAAGUGAAUGGCUCCUUAAUUAACUUGGUGUCGAGGCUAUUGUGCUUGGCUUCUUCAUAUACCAUUAUUACAUGUGCGUGUUUGUCUUUUAAACACCAUUAAAAAAUAUAAAUCCUGCUCAGACCACGUAAAAUAUGCCCGAAUCUUUCACUGUAAUUUAUGGCCUUUUCGUUUCCACCAGGAUCUAAGCACACACUCUGGCCAGUUGUCAGUCCCUUUAAAGAAAAAGGAACUUCGUGCAUUCAACCCUCGGCUAUCAGUGUUGAUGACGGGGUAAACGUGUCUUAACGUAAGAUUUCCUUUUUUUUUUGUUUCUGCAGUGAUGUUAAGAGGCAGAAUAGUCAGCUAGCCACAUCGGCUAUUGGGUAGAAAAGGCAUAGAGUUUCCUAAAAUUAACUAGAGAGGACUCCGGCGCUGCGAUCGUUCAGUGACCAUGGGAAUGAUGGGUAGUACAAGGAUUUGCCUAGUCUUCGUACUUGCGGGUGACAAAUUGCACUCGGAGCUUCGUUUACUGUCGUGUUUUGGUUUUGUUUCGAAGGAAAAAAUGAACCCCUUUGAACUUCGUCACCCGAUUUGAGAUGGCAAGCCUAAAUGAACAAGGUGGUGCAGUGCAACUGCUGAACAUUUGCUGAUUUUUGUUUCCCGAGAAAACAGCUCCAAGCCAUACGAACACACACGGAGCCAGAAGUACGAAGAUUAGACAAAUCGGUGUACUACCCAUUAUUCCCAUGCUCGUUGAAGCGCCGUGUGUUGCAGCUUUCAUAGACACUAGCGCCAGAGUUCCCUCUAGUAUAUGUUCAGAAAACUCUAUGAGAAAAGGAGCUGUCUUGUUAAUGAACAUCUUCUCGUCAUUGUAAAUCGCUACGGAGACACUCUCUUUGUCUGGGAGCAGAUAUACCAGUCUUUCCUGUAAUCUAGUCAUUAUCAUGAAGUCUGGUUGCUACUUGAAAGCAAAGCACAUGGCUGCCUGAUUUUUGUCAGAGCGUUUCUGCUUCAUCUAUAAAAUGCUACGCUAGCGAUUGCAGGGCCACUGAAAUACUUCCGUCACGUACGAGAACAGCGCCAUCUUGUGGAAUGCCUCUCCCACUAGCAGUAGGGAGCGCAUGCUUAGCCAGAACCACAAGUGCCUUUUGUAGCUUGUCACAAGCCGCCGUGCGCGAGUAUUCUCGGCGGCUGUCACAAGUGCUAGAUGUUCCUUUUGCAUGUGCAUUAUCACUUGCUCGUUUCUUGUCGGAGGUUGUUCUAUGUAGGUUUUGCAAGUGUUGUGUGCUGCAGCUAUAUGUACGAAUGGGAAGCAAGGCGACAAGCAGUGGUAACUGCGUUUUUGUGCGUUUUCGUGUCCGGCCAAUCGGUGCGACAUGCCUUGCGCCCUUGACAGGUGAUGCUAUUGAGGCUACGGUCUUACAGCGCCUGCAUUUGUGAUACUAUAAAGAAAUCAAACAGAUGUGAAUGUGUUGUGCAGUGGUGGCAUCACAUUGGCAUUUUUACAUUACAGUUGCGAUGCGUUUGUGCUGACUGUGAGAAUAAGUGCAGUGAGGCUUUUCUUUUUUUGUGUGUGUUCAGCCUGCAUAGCACGCCGCCUACUACUGAUGAUCGAAACAGUCUGUGCCACGUAUCAGAGGCAAAAUGUUAACAAUCUGUACGUGACAUGAUGUACUUGCUCCAUAUGUUUAUCAAUUUAACGCUGAACAAAUCAUUUCAUAAACAGAGCUAAAACAAGUUCACUGCAGAACACUCAAUGAUAACUAUAGCUAUACCACGGGCAUAGGUAGCUCUUGCAGUAUUCUUUCUCAUUUAUGAAACAAAGAACAUAGCUAUCUCUUCUUUUCUAAUACAACAAUGCAAAGGUAGGCCUCACUAGCACUGACAUGUGUGUUUUAAAUCAAGCAAGGCUGCAGGUAGAGUAUUGCAAUAUUAGUACUGGUAGCCGCUUUAAAAUGCGUACAACUCUGCAGCUCUCUGUGUUGCUCAGUAAGCACUUCGUCACAGCUGUGCUUCGCGGUUUUGCUGAUAGAUGCUGUGUACAUACAAUGUAUAUAAAUUAGGAGCUGAAAUCUGCUCACACCGAAACUUUCUUGGCUUCUUGCAUUCGCGUCAUGUACUUAUCUUGAAAUAAUGUCCGCUUCUAUGGUGUUUUCGGAUGUGCAUGUCCCAGUGUUGGAUGCGGCAGUCGGUUAACGUCUGCGGCUGCUGCUUUUGAACUAAGCCACGUGGAAGAUAUCAUAGAAGCCUCCAUUGUGUCACAUAAACUUUUAACUAACUUAACAUAACUUUAGAAGUGAAGUAAGUGGGCACGUGCAUGCGUGUUUUAUGUUGAAUCAGUGUGUUACAUUGUUAGUCGUUUUUUCCCCUGUUAGAAUAUUUUGGGCAAUAGAAAGAGACAUUUCAAACACGCAGUUGGAGACAGCAUUACAAGCUACUGCCGACGGCACUGUGGGACUCGCUGCAUAUGGUUGAUGCUCGCAUCUGAUUUUCAUUAUUGAAGCAGUCAUGCAUGUACAGACAUAGGGGUAUGUAAUUGCAAUAUUCGAAGCUGAAUUAAGUAGUUCCAGAAGGAUACCUGAACAGCUUGUCUGGCUGUUUUAAAAUAACAGCCUUCAUCGCAACCGAUGUAAAACAAUCUUCACAUCUAGAGCAUUCAUGUUGGAAGGCUCUAUCAUCACAUUAAAUAUCAAAGCAAUGUGUAUCGUAAGUGCAAGUGCAGCCUUUUGAACAAUGGAGCAAUUUAGUUACCUAUUCAAGGCUUGCCAGAAAGUGCGAGUACGGCUAAGCCAAGAUAGUCUGGCUUCCCAUAGCUUGAUCUAUGUUCCUUUCUUGUGUUUUCUGUCUGCUAGGCAAAAGUCAAAGGGGUCACUCAAAGUUCUAAUAACCCACCAGUCUUGAGUAAUUCUGACAGAGAAUUUUGAUGGAGCUGCGUGGGCCUAAGCAAGAAAGAUAAUUUGCGAGUAAAUUUUGCCAAGCAAUUAUUCUAUAGUCACCAGAAUUAAAUUUAUCAGUUCAUGCACAAUCACACUGGGUUUACCAAUUGAAAUACUCGAGAACUGUUCGAAGGCGGAAUUAUUCGGAAAAUAUUCUCUCCAUUACUCCAAACUUUCGAAUAUUUGUGCACCCCUUAACUAUAACUUUAAAAUUGAUGCCAGCUGUCCUGUUCGUCCAUAACUUAUCCAAGAUAAAGCCUAACAUCACGUGGCUCUUCAUUUUUUGCAUUUUUUAAGACUGCACUUCAAUUUUUAAUGCUACCAGUACAUAAAACCGAAAAUAAAAGUUUUGUGGACCGUAGCAACUAUGGUAUGAAAAGACAACGACAAUGUCCUAAUACAUGGAUUGAAUGUUAAUACGAUAUUGCAUGCAAAGCUUCUAGCAAUUCGACACUGCUUGCUUAGACGUUUAUGUGCUCUUGACGGUCCACAAGACUUUUACUCCAACUGUAUGCUUAGUUUAAACCAUGCCCUGAUGGUGCUGUUAAUUGCUGUGGCAAGACCUAAUGAGCUACGACAUGUUGUUGACCAGUUUACAGUUAUUAGUUUCAGGAGUAUGCCAAUGUUAUAUUUGAGUUUUGCCAUAUUUUCUUAUUAAAGUGGACUCGAAAGUGUUA
rnacentral:misc_RNA from 1 species